AAUCUUGGACAAUGGGGGAAACCCUGAUCCAGCCAUCCCGCGUGUGCGAUGAAGGCCNNNGGGUUNUAUAGCACUCUUGUCAGNGAANAAAAGGUUCUGGCUAAUACCCGGAACUGAUGACGGUACCUGAAGAACAAGAACCGCCUAAUUACGUGCCAGCAGCCGCGGUAAUACGUAGGGUGCAAGCGUUAAUCGGAAUUACUGGGCGUAAAGCGUGCGCAGGCGGUUCGGAAAGAAGGAUGUGAAAUCCCAGGGCUCAACCUUGGAACUGCAUUCUUAACUACCGAACUAGAGUAUGUCAGAGGGGGGUAGAAUUCCGCGUGUAGCAGUGAAAUGCGUAGAUAUGCGGAGGAAUACCGAUGGCGAAGGCAGCCCCCUGGGAUAAUACUGACGCUCAUGCACGAAAGCGUGGGUAGCAAACAGG
rnacentral:rRNA from 1 species